rnacentral:siRNA from 1 species
GGUCAUGUUUGUACUGCCCACA